rnacentral:rRNA from 1 species
UGCCAGCCGCCGCGGUAAUACGUAGGGUGCGAGCGUUGUUCGGAAUCACUGGGCGUAAAGGGCACGCAGGCGGACCGUCAAGUCAGAGGUGAAAUCCCGGGGCUCAACCCCGGACGUGCUUCUGAAACUGGCGGUCUGGAGAUGGCGAGAGGCUAGCGGAAUUCCAGGUGUAGAGGUGAAAUUCGUAGAUAUCUGGAGGAACACCGGCGGCGAAAGCGGCUAGCUGGCGCAUAUCUGACGCUGAGGUGCGAAAGCGUGGGGAGCAAACAGGAUUAGAUA